AUCCAAAUGAUGAAUCCCAAAUAGGACGAAAUGCUCACCCUGGAU
rfam:Trichobilharzia regenti genome assembly, scaffold: TRE_scaffold0003971